AUAGAUAAACUGGAGACUUCACUGGAAGGCUUUGAGUGAGGAAAUCGAAGUGAACAUUGGAAUUAACAAAACAGCCACAGUCUCUGAACUGUUGUCCUUAACCCAAAUAUCUCUCUGUGUGAGGUACCGUGUUUACCUACAUUCCAAAGAUUUCUUGUGUAUCGUUCAUAAAUGUUGGUCUUCUCAAGAGUUAUGUACAUCAUCUUGUCAUUUCUUCUUUUUUCUGAAAGUUCUCCUAUAAUAUCAACAUUUACCUGGAAUGAAUCAGAAUGUAGAAUGUAUAGUCCUCGUGGAUUUUGUACCAAAGAGUAUUUACCAGUCUGUGGGACCGAUGGAUGUACUUAUGGCAACAGAUGUGCUUUCUGUAAUGCAUACAGGGAGAACGCAGGAUACCUCCGUGCCUUAUCUUCCCACUGCAAUCCUCUUAGCCCAAUAGAGCUUAUCGAUCAUAGAUAAAUUGGAGACUUCGCUGGAAGGUUCUGAAUGAGGAAAUGAAAGUGAACUUUUGAAGGAACAGAACAACCACAGUCUCUGAACUGUUGUCCUUAAACCAAAUAUCUCUCUGUGUGAGGUAGGCCAAGUGGGGCUCCCAUUGAGACAGCCUUGUGUGAAGUCUUCUCCAGUCCAAGGUUCCAUAUUUAACUAUAUUCCAAAGAUUUCUUGUGUAUUUCUCGUAAAAUGUUGGUCUUCUCAAGAGUUAUGUACAUCACUUUGUCAUUUCUUCUUUUUUCUGAAAGUUUCUUUAUAAUAUCAGCAUUUACCUGGAGUCACUUAUUGUGUAGAAAGUAUAAUAUUGGUGACCCUUGUCCCAGAACACUUAGGCCAGUCUGUUCUUCCACUGGCCGUACUUAUCCCAGCAAAUGUAUUUUCUGCAAAGCAUUCAAAGCAAGCAAUGGUAGAAUUAAAUUUAAACGUAACGGUAUAUGUUGAGUUUUUGAUGGAGCUACAUCUUCCUAUGGAUCUUAUUGUGAUCACAGUUUUUCCCUGACGUCUGCAGUGGAUUGGAGAUUUUGUUGUCAGCUUCUCACGGUCCUAGAAGAUUGGGUGACUCUCUGUGUAGGACACAGGAUAGAAGGCUGGUCUGUCACUGCUCUUUUCACUUCUGGAAUCCUGGGAUUUCAACGUUUUAGCUUCCGUGGUCAACUACUUAAUGACACCUAGUAAUCUAAAAAUCUCAAUUUUGUGUUCUGUAAACUGACAACUUAAAAGAAUCAGUACUGUUGUUGUAGUUUGUAGCAUGAAUCUUAAAUUUUCUUAUUAAUAAAAGCAAAGCCGGAGGCAGGUAUUGGGGUGAAUGCUGAAUGAUCAGAGAAACAGAACAAGCCACCCCUAACCUCACCUCUGCCAACUUCUCAGCUGAUUCUGUUUCCUCAAACCAGAAGCCUCUGAGUCCUCAUCCGAAUGGAUCUCAGCUGAACUGCUGCUAAAAGCUAAAAGCUUAAAAAGACUCUAGUUCCUGGUCCUCAUGCCUUAUAUACCUUUCUGCUUCCUGCCAUCACUUCCUGGGAUUAAAGAUGUGUGUCAUCACACCAGGCUGUUUCCUGUGUGGCUUUGAACUCACAGAGAUCCAAAUGGAUCUCUGCCUCCCAACUGAUAGGAUUAAAGGUGUGUGCUCCACCCAUUUUCUGGCCUCUAUGUCUAUCUAGUGGCUGUUCUGUUCUCUGACCUCAGAAAAGUUUAUUAGGGUCCACAAUAUAUUGGGGGACACACUAUCACCACAGUGGUUCUUGAUAAAAUCUUAAAGUGCACUCUUUAUUAAUAUAAACUUUGGGGGGAUGAAAAGAUUGCCCAGUUAUUAGGGAAGCUUGACAAUCUUGGGGAGAACCCAAGUUUGGUUCUCUGCACCCAUGGUAGGUGGCUUAUAACUUCCAUAUUUAGGGAGUUCUCAUAGCAUCUUCUGUCCACUGUGGACACAUGCACAGACAUGUUAUACAUGCACAUACACACAUAAAUAUAAAUAUAAACAUAAAUAAAACUUUUAAAACAAUGCUCUUUGCUUCUUUGGAUAAUGAGGUAACACAAACACAUUCUUUUGACAAAUACAUAUGACAAGGUUGGAAUUCAAGAGCUGAUUUUUGAAUAGGACCAGUGGGAAUGACUUUUUUCUGGAAAUAACUCUUGCCUCAGGAGUUGAACUUUUAUGGCCUGACCUUGCAACAAUAUAGACCAUAUACAUAUAUCAAGACUAGUUUUAAACCAUAUUCUCCCUCUUUUCUUUGUGACCCUUCUCUGUCCCUGAGCCAGUACAAUGUAUGAGUGUAUUGUGAUAACUGUUCACCUAAAGCAGCAGGCUGAAAGCAACCUUGAAAGCAAUAUGUACUAGAAAGACUGAUAGAAAGAUAUGGUUCUAUGUUGAUAACAUGUUUUCAGUCAAGUACUAUUCUAGGUCAGUAAAGGAAACACUUCACUUUUGAAA